rnacentral:rRNA from 1 species
GACGAACGCUGGCGGCGUGCCUAACACAUGCAAGUCGAGCGGGGAACUUCGGUUCCCAGCGGCGGACGGGUGAGUAACACGUGGGUAACCUGCCUUGUAGAGGGGGAUAGCCUUCCGAAAGGAAGAUUAAUACCGCAUAACAUUGUUUUUUCGCAUGAAGAGACAAUCAAAGGAGCAAUCCGCUACAAGAUGGACCCGCGGCGCAUUAGCUAGUUGGUGAGGUAACGGCUCACCAAGGCGACGAUGCGUAGCCGGCCUGAGAGGGGGAACGGCCAAAUUUGAACUGAGACACGGUCCAGACUCCGACUGGUGGCAGCAGUGGGGAAUAUUGAACAAUGGGCGAAAGCCUGAUGCAGCAGCGCCGCGUGGGUGAUGAAGGCCUUCGGGUUGUAAAGUGCUUUUUGAGAGGGUGAGGAAGGACAGUACUCUUAGAAUAAGCUUCUGCUAACUACGUGCCAGCAGCCGCCGUAAAAC